rnacentral:rRNA from 1 species
CUGAGAGGAUGGUCAGCCACACUGGGACUGAGACACUGCCCAGACUCCUACGGGAGGCUGCAGUCGAGGAUCAUUCGCAAUGCGCGAAAGCGUGACGAUGCGACGCUGCGUGGAGGAUGAAGGCUUUCGGGUUGCAAACUCCUGUCACUCGGGAACAACGGCCCGGCUCAGAAUAUGUGCCGGGUGUGAUAGUACCGAGAGAGGAAGCCACGGCUAACUCUGUGCCAGCAGCCGCGGUAAUACAGAGGUGGCGAGCGUUGUUCGGAUUUACUGGGCGUAAAGGGUGCGUAGGCGGUCUCGUGUGUCGGAUGUGAAAUCCUGGGGCUCAACCCCGGAACUACGUCCGAAACUGCGGAACUAGAGUACAGGAGGGGAGAGCGGAAUACUUGGUGUAGCGGUGAAAUGCGUUGAUAUCAAGUAGAACACCGGUGGCGAAGGCGGCUCUCUGGAAUGUUACUGACGCUGAUGCACGAAAGCUGGGGGAGCAAACAGGAUUAGAUACCCUGGUAGUCCCAGCCGUAAACGGUGUGCACUUUGUGUGGGGAGUAUUGACCCUCUCCGUGCUGGAGCUAACGCGUUAAGUGCACCGCCUGGGGAGUACGGCCGCAAGGCUAAAACUCAAAGAAAUUGACGGGGGCCCGCACAAGCGGAGGAGCAUGUGGCUUAAUUCGAUGCAACGCGAAGAACCUUACCAGGGCUUGGCAUGGUGCUGCACGUCCCGUGAAAGUGGGAUUCCUUCGAGGGUGCACCACAGGUGCUGCAUGGCUGUCGUCAGUUCAUGCCGUGAGGUGUUGGGUUAAGUCCCGCAACGAACGCAACCCUUGUGGUUAGUUGCCACCGCCGGUGAUGAGCCGGCGAGCACUCUAGCCAGACUGCCCGUACAAGCGGGAGGAAGGUGGGGAUGACGUCAAGUCCGUAUGGCCUUUAUGCCCUGGGCUGCACACGUGCUACAAUGGUCGGAACAGUGGGAUGCGAUACCGCGAGGUGGAGCAAAUCCUCAAAUCUGACCCCAGUUCGGAUUGGAGUCUGCAACUCGACUCCAUGAAGUUGGAUUCGCUAGUAAUGGCGCAUCAGCUACGGCGCCGUGAAUACGUUCCCGGGCCUUGUACACACCGCCCGUCACAUCAUGAAAGCCGUCUGCACCCGAAGUCGCUGAGCCAACCCGCAAGGGGGGCAGGUGCCGAAGGUGUGGGUGGUGGUUGGGAUGAAGUCGGAACAAGGUA